AUGCCGGGCCCUGUCCUGCCUGAGUCUGCCUGGGGCACCCAGCUGCUCUGCUGUGUGGCCCUCUGUCUCCUGUGGACAGGUCCAGUGGGUGGUGGAGUCAUCCAGACCCCCAGACACUUAAUCAAAGGCAGCGGGGGGAAGGCUCUUCUGGAAUGCCAUCUUGUCUCUGGACACAACACUGUGCACUGGUACAAGCAGGCCCCGGGACAGGGCCCCCAGUUCCUCUUUGAGUAUUAUAGACAGAAGCAGAGAGACAAAGGAGACGUCCCCGCACGAUUCUCAGUGCAGCAGUUCAGUGACGCCAGCUCCCAGCUGGAGAUGAACCCCCUGGAGCCGGGAGACUCAGCCCUGUAUCUCUGUGCCAGCAGCUUGGCACAGCCCUGCGGUGUGACUGGCUUUCUGUACUCAAACUUUCCUAUCCCAGCUGAGGAUAUAAGAGGGGGGGGGGUGUUCUUAGCCAAGUUCCAGGGAUGCAUCUAG